GUUUAAAUAGUUUAACAGAAAAUAUUGGUUUGUGAUAUCAAAGAUGUAGAAUUUUACUUUAAACC
rnacentral:tRNA from 1 species